GUUCUUGGGGCUAAAGAUCAGCCAAGGGCCAUGCUUAGCGAUCAUAUAUAAGAACAACUCUUUAAACGGCUCAGUGGAGAGAGACACGAACGGGCUAUUCAUAAUGGGAAAAGUUUUGAUGAGGUCGGACAAUUCCGAGAAUCAGACCUGCCAAUAUGAGAGGUUAAAUGCAAGAAACGAGAAUAAGGCCCAUGCCAAGGA